UCAUACAAUUAACAUUGGUGGUGUGAAACAUAUUAUAAAGUUUCUUAAUCUGACUGUUGAUCCGCAUUUAGAGAGAGGAUAAAUUCACAGAGAGGGAAAGAAGAAAAAUACUCAAUUUCGAAAAAAGCUCUAAAUCGAAGCACACAAUCUUGAGCUAAUAAUCUCUGCAAUUUAUAAUAAACCCUCAAUUGAAGCCAUGGCAGGAAAAGAAUUCUGAGAAUACACCAAUCUUACCGAUCCUAAAGGUAAGAAAUUUGGUAAAGGGAAGGACAAGAUAGAUGAUGAGGAGGUCACUUUUCAACACAUUGUUUCCAAGGGAUCCUGACUUUUCCUACUGGGUGCUUGACAUGUUUAGAUGCAAGAGGUUGUUGGGGAACAUGGAGGUUACCUUCAUGGAAAAGGUGGUAUAGAUUCUUGCUCACAAUAAUUGCUUCCUCCUUUUUUUUUGGUACAUUAGUUUGUCCAUAUAAUUAAAAUGUGAAAUAGUUUCUUGAACCUUGUUUAAGUUAUAUUUUGCAUCCCUGGACAACGAUGACUUACUUUACCUCAAGGAAACAUAUGGAAGUCGAGGAAGAUGCUGAACACCUUCUGCAAGGCAGCAUGAUUUACUAAAAAGUGUUUUAGGAGUCAAGCCUAAGAAGCAGAAAGUUUCUAGAGGGUUUGAUGGGAGUAAUUCCAUCUCAAGUACGGGAGUUAUUCUGAUUCCUAGUAGUAAUUCUGAUUCGAAUCAAGAAAAGCAGAAAGAUGUCUUGCCGGCUAAACCAAAUGAUACUGGAAAAGAAACAAAGGUAGAUAAAAGCUUGGUAGCAACAUAUGAGAGUUCAGAUGAUGAAGAUUGAUUAUGUAUGGAUUUGAUUGAUGAAUUAUUUUUAGAUCAUAGUGUUUAAAUUAUCAAAUAUCCUUGGCAUUUGUAAUGUGGCCAUUUUGAUCAAGGAUCCAUUGAGCAUGCCUGCCCGCAGAGGCCUAAAUGUUCUUACCGUGAAUUAGUUGACAAGUGAAUAUCGACAAACUGUAUGUUGUAAUUUUACAUAGUUGAGAUGUGAGGUAUUAUAGUUUUGCAUAAAA